rnacentral:rRNA from 1 species
GAUGAACGCUGGCGGCGUGCUUAACACAUGCAAGUCGAACGAAGCAUUUGCGACAGAUUUUUUCGGAGUGAAGUUGCUUAUGACUGAGUGGCGGACGUGUGAGUAACGCGUGGGUAACCUGCCUUGUACUGGGGGAUAGCAGCUGGAAACGGCUGGUAAUACCGCAUAAGCGCACAAUGUUGCAUGACAUGGUGUGAAGAACUCUUGUGGUAUAAGAUGGACCCGCGUCUGAUUAGCUAGUUGGUGAGAUAACAGCGCACCAAGGCGACGAUCAGUAGCCGACCUGGGAGGGUGCCCCGCCACAUUGGGACUGCGACACAGACCAGAACCCUACGGGAGGGAGCAGUAGGGAGUAUUGCACAAUGAAGCAAACUCUGAUGCAGCGACGCCGCGUGAGUGAACCAGUAAUUCGUUAUGUACAGCUCUAUCAGCAGGGAAGAUAGUGACGGUACCUGACUAAGAAGCACCGGCUAACUACGUG